rnacentral:lncRNA from 1 species
UCCUGCUAUACAUUCCAAAAUUAUAUUUCUUUCCAAAGCAUUACAAGUCAAAAAAAAAAAAAAAAAAAAAAAAAAAAGCCAUUCUUAAAAAAAAAAGAAAAAAAAAGAAAGCCAUUCAUCACAAAACUAAUGAAAUAUUAUUCUAUCUUAGAAAAUAUUGCGAAUUCUAUUUGUACCGCACCACUAAUUUAAACAUAGCAACCAUGUUACAGAAGCAGGCUAUAGAACUGCUAGCUAUGCAUUCUAAUCCCAAGAAACUAAAGAAAAUUACUAAAUAACCAGAUUAUAGAGUAAAUAAUGGACUGGAGAAUACAUCUUCAGUUGCGAUCUCAAAAUCUCACUUUUAUUUUUCUCCUUGGUUAUGAAGUAUGCCUCCUUUUGCUCUUUCUACCAUGUUACAAUGGAGGAAAAGUAUCCUUUUCAUUCGCUUUCAUCGCCACUCUCCUCCAAGUAUAAGUGGUUCAUAUUUUU